UGGGUAACCUGCCUCAAAGAGGGGAAUAGCCUCCCGAAAGGGAGAUUAAUACCGCAUAAUAUGUUUAAGUCGCAUGACUUUAACAUCAAAGGAUUUUCUUUUAGAAGUUCCACUUUGAGAUGGACCCGCGGCGCAUUAGCUAGUUGGUGAGGUAACGGCUCACCAAGGCAACGAUGCGUAGCCGACCUGAGAGGGUGAUCGGCCACAUUGGAACUGAGACACGGUCCAGACUCCGUAGGGAG
rnacentral:rRNA from 1 species